GACGAACGCUGGCGGCGUGCCUAAUACAUGCAAGUCGAACGAACUCUGGUAUUGAUUGGUGCUUGCAUCAUGAUUUACAUUUGAGUGAGUGGCGAACUGGUGAGUAACACGUGGGAAACCUGCCCAGAAGCGGGGGAUAACACCUGGAAACAGAUGCUAAUACCGCAUAACAACUUGGACCGCAUGGUCCGAGCUUGAAAGAUGGCUUCGGCUAUCACUUUUGGAUGGUCCCGCGGCGUAUUAGCUAGAUGGUGGGAUAACGGCUCACCAUGGCAAUGAUACGUAGCCGACCUGAGAGGGUAAUCGGCCACAUUGGGACUGAGACACGGCCCAAACUCCUACGGGAGGCAGCAGUAGGGAAUCUUCCACAAUGGACGAAAGUCUGAUGGAGCAACGCCGCGUGAGUGAAGAAGGGUUUCGGCUCGUAAAACAGUUGUUAAAGAAGAACAUAUCUGAGAGUAACUGUUCAGGUAUUGACGGUAUUUAACCAGAAAGCCACGGCUAACUACGUGCCAGCAGCCGCGGUAAUACGUAGGUGGCAAGCGUUGUCCGGAUUUAUUGGGCGUAAAGCGAGCGCAGGCGGUUUUUUAAGUCUGAUGUGAAAGCCUUCGGCUCAACUGAAGAAGUGCAUCGGAAACUGGGAAACUUGAGUGCAGAAGAGGACAGUGGAACUCCAUGUGUAGCGGUGAAAUGCGUAGAUAUAUGGAAGAACACCAGUGGCGAAGGCGGCUGUCUGGUCUGUAACUGACGCUGAGGCUCGAAAGUAUGGGUAGCAAACAGGAUUAGAUACCCUGGUAGUCCAUACCGUAAACGAUGAAUGCUAAGUGUUGGAGGGUUUCCGCCCUUCAGUGCUGCAGCUAACGCAUUAAGCAUUCCGCCUGGGGAGUACGGCCGCAAGGCUGAAACUCAAAGGAAUUGACGGGGGCCCGCACAAGCGGUGGAGCAUGUGGUUUAAUUCGAAGCUACGCGAAGAACCUUACCAGGUCUUGACAUACUAUGCAAAUCUAAGAGAUUAGACGUUCCCUUCGGGGACAUGGAUACAGGUGGUGCAUGGUUGUCGUCAGCUCGUGUCGUGAGAUGUUGGGUUAAGUCCCGCAACGAGCGCAACCCUUAUUAUCAGUUGCCAGCAUUAAGUUGGGCACUCUGGUGAGACUGCCGGUGACAAACCGGAGGAAGGUGGGGAUGACGUCAAAUCAUCAUGCCCCUUAUGGCCUGGGCUACACACGUGCUACAAUGGAUGGUACAACGAGUUGCGAACUCGCGAGAGUAAGCUAAUCUCUUAAAGCCAUUCUCAGUUCGGAUUGUAGGCUGCAACUCGCCUACAUGAAGUCGGAAUCGCUAGUAAUCGCGGAUCAGCAUGCCGCGGUGAAUACGUUCCCGGGCCUUGUACACACCGCCCGUCACACCAUGAGAGUCUGUAACACCCAAAGUCGGUGGGGUAACCUUUUAGGAACCAGCCGCCUAAGGUGGGACAGAUGAUUAGGGUGAAG
rnacentral:rRNA from 1 species